ACGGGAGGCAGCAGUGGGGAAUAUUGGGCAAUGGGCGAAAGCCUGACCCAGCAACGCCGCGUGAAGGAAGAAGGUCUUCGGAUUGUAAACUUCUUUUAUCAGGGACGAAGGAAGUGACGGUACCUGAUGAAUAAGCCACGGCUAACUACGUGCCAGCAGCCGCGGUAAUACGUAGGUGGCGAGCGUUAUCCGGAUUUACUGGGUGUAAAGGGCGCGUAGGCGGGGAUGCAAGUCAGAUGUGAAAUCUAUGGGCUCAACUCAUAAACUACAUUUGAAACUGUAUCUCUUGAGUGUCGGAGAGGUAGAUGGGAUGCCUAGUGUAGCGGUGAAAUGCGUAGAUAUUAGGAGGAACGCCAGUGGCGAAGGCGAUCUACUGGACGGUAACUGACGCUGAGGCGCGAAAGCGUGGGGAGCAGACAGGAUUAGAUACCCUGGUA
rnacentral:rRNA from 1 species